ensembl:snRNA U6 U6 spliceosomal RNA
GUGCCGGCUUCGGCAGCAUAUAUACUAAAAUUGGAAAGAUACAGAGAAGAUUAGCAUGGCCCCGGCGCACGGAUGCACGCGAAUUCGUGAAGCGUUCCGUAUUUAA